AUAUGGUUCAUCUCAAGGCCAUUUACACUUUGGAGCCAGGCCUGUUCAGUUUUACAAAUAGCACAGGUAAGUAUUGAUGGUUUGUGCUUUCUUAGGGAGUAUAUUUAGAUGGCCACUUGAUGAUGAACAAUGUGAAAGACAAGCAUAUGGCUGAGCUGUGGUGAUGUCAUCUCACUACUGAGAAGUGGGCUGAAGAAAGAAGGUGCUGAGGUGGCUGUGAUUACAUUUUAAAAUGACAUAGUUUCUGUUUCCAGGUUACUGUGACAACAUGAAGAGUUGAAGGUACCUCCCAGGAUGAUUGCAGAUUUUCCCGGUGGUGAGUCUCCGGCAUUCAAAGGUUAGAUUAUUUUGCAUUGGGUUUGUUCACUAGGUUGGCUGUUUCUAUGAUGAAUCAAACUAGCUCACUAUGACUGCUAAUGAAAACACAGGAACACCUGAGAAACGGAAAGGUAGCAUGUGGGGGCAAGAGCACUUAUAUCCAGCCUUUUCAACCUUGGCUAUUUUUCUCCAGGUUCUGUUAGUGCCAUACUUGUUGGUUUACAGAGAUGGUGUGUCUGGCUGAGACCAAAGGAGCCAUGCCA
ensembl:processed_transcript